GACGAACGCUGGCGGCGUGCUUAACACAUGCAAGUCGAACGGAAAGGCCCUGCUUUUGUGGGGUGCUCGAGUGGCGAACGGGUGAGUAACACGUGAGUAACCUGCCCUUGACUUUGGGAUAACUUCAGGAAACUGGGGCUAAUACCGGAUAGGAGCUCCUGCUGCAUGGUGGGGGUUGGAAAGUUUCGGCGGUUGGGGAUGGACUCGCGGCUUAUCAGCUUGUUGGUGGGGUAGUGGCUUACCAAGGCUUUGACGGGUAGCCGGCCUGAGAGGGUGACCGGCCACAUUGGGACUGAGAUACGGCACAGACUCCUACGGGAGGCAGCAGCGGGGAAUAUUGCACAAUGGGCGGAAGCCUGAUGCAGCAACGCCGCGUGCGGGAUGACGGCCUUCGGGUUGUAAACCGCUUUCGCCUGUGACGAAGCGUGAGUGACGGUAAUGGGUAAAGAAGCACCGGCUAACUACGUG
rnacentral:rRNA from 1 species